CACGGAGUUAGCCGGUGCUUAUUCAUCUGGUACCGUCAAAUAAGCUAAAUAGCCCACAUUUCUUCCCAGAUAAAAGAAGUUUACAAUCCAGAGGACCUUCAUCCUCCACGCGGCAUGGCUGGUUCAGACUUGCGUCCAUUGACCAAUAUUCCUUACUGCUGCCUCCCGUAGGAGUCGGGCCCGUGUCUCAGUGCCCGUGUGACUGGUCGCGCUCUCACGCCAGUUACUGAUCGUCGGCUUGGUGAGCCGUUACCUCACCAACUACCUAAUCAGGCGCACGCCCAUCUUUAAGUGCCGGAGCUUUUAUGGCCGUGAGAUGCCUCACCACCAUCUUACGGGGUAUUAAUCCAAAUUUCUCUGGGCUAUCCCCCUCUCAAAGGAAGGUUGCGUACGUGUUCCGCACCCGUUUGCCGGUCGCCACCAGUGUAUUGCUACACCGUGCUGCCCCUCGACUUGCAUGUAUUAGGCCUGCCGCUAGCGUCACUCUC
rnacentral:rRNA from 1 species